GAGGGGCUCGCGGCCUAUCAGCUAGUUGGCGAGGUAACGGCUCACCAAGGCAACGACGGGUAGCUGGUCUGAGAGGAUGGCCAGCCACAUUGGGACUGAGAUACGGCCCAGACUCCUACGGGAGGCAGCAGUGGGGAAUCUUGCGCAAUGGCCUAACGGCUGACGCAGCGACGCCGCGUGUGGGAUGAAGCUCCUCGGAGUGUAAACCACUGUUGCCCGGGACGAAUAGCUCGAUUAAUCGAGCCUGACGGUACCGGGUGAGGAAGCACCGGCUAACUCCGUGCCAGCAGCCGCGGUAAUACGGGGGGUGCGAGCGUUGUCCGGAAUCACUGGGCGUAAAGGGCGCGUAGGUGGUUUGAUAAGGGUGUGGUGAAAGUCCGGGGCUCAACCCCGGAUCUGCCGUGCCGACUGUCAAACUCGAGGACUGUAGAGGCAGACGGAAUUCCGGGUGUAGCGGUGGAAUGCGUAGAGAUCCGGAGGAAGACCGGUGGCGAAGGCGGUCUGCUGGGCAGUUUCUGACACUGAGGCGCGACAGCGUGGGGAGCAAACAGGAUUAGAUACCCUGGUAGUCCACGCCGUAAACGAUGGGUACUAGGUGC
rnacentral:rRNA from 1 species